rnacentral:rRNA from 1 species
CGGCGGACGGGUGAGUAACACGUGGGUAACCUACCUAUAAGACUGGGACAACUUCGGGAAACCGGAGCUAAUACCGGAUAAGAUAUCGAACCGCAUGGUUCGAUAGUGAAAGAUGGUUUUGCUAUCACUUAUAGAUGGACCCGCGCCGUAUUAGCUAGUUGGUGAGGUAACGGCUCACCAAGGCAACGAUACGUGGCCGACCUGAGAGGGUGAUCGGCCACACUGGAACUGAGACACGGUCCAGACUCCUACGGGAGGCAGCAGCU